CGUGUGACUGCUGGAGCCUGGGAGUUAUACUAUAUGUUUGGCAAAUAACCCAUUGGAGAAACAAGUCAAAGAAGGGUCGUAUAAAUUUCCGAACAACCUCUGGAAGAAUGUUAGCAGUGAAGCUAAGGAUCUUAUAACAAAACUGCUUACUGUUGGUCACAGAAAAUGCAUCACGGUUUCAGAAGCUCUGGAACAUCCUUGGAUGAAGGAUAAAGAAAUGAUAGAAAAAGCAGAAAAAAUGAUAAAACCGACCGUGGAUGGAAGAUCAAUGUCUCCGCCCUUAUAAAAGGUAUGUUGAAAACUACGAUACUUGUCCCGUUCUUCCGUCCAAUGACCCUUAUUUUCAACUCGCAAUUGCAAUGAAACAUUACAUGUUUGCAAGUUACAUCGAAAUUUAACCAGCUUUCCGAAACAAUCUCAAGGCGC
rnacentral:lncRNA from 1 species